CAGUAGCCACGGUAAUACGUAGGGUGCGAGCGUUAAUCGGAAUUACUGGGCGUAAAGCCUGCGUAGGCGGUUUGUUAAGUCUGUUGUGAAAUCCCCGGGCUCAACCUGGGAAUGGCAAUGGAUACUGGCAAGCUAGAGUGUGUCAGAGGAUGGUGGAAUUCCCGGUGUAGCGGUGAAAUGCGUAGAGAUCGGGAGGAACAUCAGUGGCGAAGGCGGCCAUCUGGGACAACACUGACGCUGAGGCACGAAAGCGUGGGGAGCAAACAGGAUUAGAUACCCCGGUAGUCCCUGUCUCUUAUAC
rnacentral:rRNA from 1 species